GACGAACGCUGGCGGCGUGCCUAAUACAUGCAAGUCGAACGCUGAAGGAGGAGCUUGCUUCUCUGGAUGAGUUGCGAACGGGUGAGUAACGCGUAGGUAACCUGCCUGGUAGUGGGGGAUAACUAUUGGAAACGAUAGCUAAUACCGCAUAAUAGCAGUUGUUGCAUGAUAACUGUUUGAAAGGUGCAAUUGCACCGCUACCAGAUGGACCUGCGUUGUAUUAGCUAGUUGGUGGGGUAACGGCUCACCACGGCGACGAUACAUAGCCGACCUGAGAGGGUGAUCGGCCACACUGGGACUGAGACACGGCCCAGACUCCUACGGGAGGCAGCAGGAGGGAAUCUUCGGCAAUGGACGGAAGGCUGACCGAGCAACGCCGCGGGAGUGAAGAAGGUUGUCGGAUCGGAAAGCUCUGUUGUAAGAGAAGAACGAGUGUGAGAGUGGAAAGUUCACAAUGUGACGGUAGCUUACCAGAAAGGGACGGCUAACUACGUG
rnacentral:rRNA from 1 species